UGAUGCAGAGCCCAGGGCUGACAGAAGCUAAGAAAACUUCAGAAAAGUUCUGCUGAACUUCGUCAGGUUGAUGAGAUGGACUUGGAUCAAAUGCACGUACCUGCCCUGGGUCGGCCCUUCGCUAUAGGAAUGCUGUAUGACGCUCGUCAAGAUCAACUGUUAGCAGACUUCACCCUGUGGGACAGAGAAACAAUAAAAAAAUUCACCAUAAGAAAGACCCAGAACAGCAGUCAUUAUGACACUAUUGCUUCAGACACUAUUGCAGCCAAGACUUCCCUGCUAAAGGCUGAUGAAUCUCUCACAGCCAGUGUUCUGAGUGGUCUAAUUGAUGUUGGAGC